AUGCUCCAUGGAAAGAGACAUGGGGGAUUAUUUGUCCUGUUCCCCAGAAGAGUACAUUUAAAAGGAGGAGGAAUUUGGAUCACUAAAAGAAAAAGAAAAAAAAGAAGGAUGAAACAGUCUCAUUGUGUCACCGAGGCUGAAGUGCAGUGGCAUAAUCAUGGCUUACUGCAGCCCCUACCUCUAGGCUCAAGCAAUCCUCCCAUCUCAGCUUCCUGUGUAGCUAGGAUGGAAAUGUUCUUUUUCUUAAAGGAUAUAUACUUUCUCCUAACCUCAGACAUCGGCAGUCUUGAUUGUCAGAACUUCAGACUCAGACUAAAUUUCCUGCUUCUGCAGCCGUCAGACAGAUUAUGGGAGUUCUUGGCCUCCAUAAUUAUGACACAGAAAGAAGGGGAUUGUCCGCAAAUGAAAAAGAAAGACUUCACUGAAAACUGA
rnacentral:lncRNA from 1 species